rnacentral:rRNA from 1 species
AUUCAUGACUGGGGUGAAGUCGUAACAUGGUAUCCGGAGGGGAACGUGCGGUUGGAUCACCUCCUUCCCUUAAAGAA